UACGUAGGGGGCGAGCGUUGUCCGGAAUUAUUGGGCGUAAAGAGCGUGUAGGCGGUCCGGUAAGUCCGCUGUGAAAGUCCAGGGCUCAACCCUGGAAUGCCGGUGGAUACUGCCGGGCUAGAGUCCGGAAGAGGCGAGUGGAAUUCCUGGUGUAGCGGUGAAAUGCGCAGAUAUCAGGAGGAACACCGGUGGCGAAGGCGGCCAUCUGGACGGAUACUGACGCUGAGACGCGAAAGCGUGGGUAGCAAACAGG
rnacentral:rRNA from 1 species